UACGGAGGGUCCGAGCGUUAAUCGGAAUUACUGGGCGUAAAGCGCGCGUAGGCGGUUAGUUAAGCGAGAUGUGAAAUCCCCGGGCUCAACCUGGGCAUUGCGUUUCGAACUGGCUAACUAGAGUGCAGUAGAGGGUGGUGGAAUUUCCAGUGUAGCGGUGAAAUGCGUAGAGAUUGGAAGGAACAUCAGUGGCGAAGGCGACUGCCUGGACUGACACUGACGCUGAGGUGCGAAAGCGUGGGGAGCAAAC
rnacentral:rRNA from 1 species